UAUCUCAUAUGGUUUUAAUAAAACCCUUCUCCCUUCUUUCAUUUAAACAAAACCUCUAACCCCUUGGGUUGUGGCCUCUCUCUCUCUCUGGCCUCUCUCCUUGUGGCCCAUCUCUACCUCUGCUCUCAGCAGCCCACCUCUCCAGCUCCUUAGCCCACCUCGUUAUUUUUUCCCUCUGGCCCGUACCCCUUGGCUCUUCUUUUUCCUGUUGUCGUCUUCUCCCCAGGGAACGAGCACGCAAGGCGCGUGAUGUACUGGACCUCCACCACCGACGCCCCACCUCACCUGCUCCUCCCCUUUAUCCCUCUCCUAGAAACCCUAGCCGCUCCUCCCUUCUCCCUCCCUCUGGCCGCCGCCACCCUCUUCUCCCUCUUCUUUAUCCUCUCUUUUCUCUCUUCUCUGUAAGCAACGAAGGGAGGAAAACCACGUCGUACCACCGCAGAAACCUCCACCUCGCUGCCGUUCCAGGCCGCCCCUCGCUGUGCUGAUGCCACUGGCGGAUGCGCCUCGUCGUCCUCUUCAUCUACGUUCAAGGAAUCGUCCCAAGAUGUUCGGUAUCGAGCACAAGGCCGCCGUUUCUCCGCCACGGUUGUCAUGCUCCGGCGAGAAAUCUGUCGUCGUGCAUCCUCCCCCGCCCUCUCCGACCUCUCUACCACGUUCCUGAUAUGGUCUCCGGCGGCUCUCCGGUGGUUCCCCGGCGCCAAGACUACCACCAGCAGGUUCCCCAUGUUCUUCUGCGUCGAAUGCGCCCUCUCCCGCUUCCCGGGUCGUCCGCCAUCGCCAGAUCCAUCUUCGAACGGAUCUCCUUCCGCCAUGGAUGAUGGAUGCUCCAGCUCCGCCUCUUCUGGCUCUAGUUGCCACGAGCCUUUGUUUUAACAUGAUCUGAAUCAUUAGCGUGGUGAUCCGGCCCCGUUGAUGGUCUUCGACCCAGAUCCAUCCAGCGUGCCAGGCUGCAUCUCAUCACCGGUUCGGCCCACCAGCACCACCUCGCCAUGCGGCAGCGCUUUGCUUCUUCCUGGAUAGGAUCGCGAAGUGGUGUGGUGAGAUACGACAAGUUCUCCGGAUGUUCCUCGGCAAGCUUUAACAGGCAAGCAUUUCCCCUAUACUCCUGUCCCUGCAGGAGUCGCUCACCUAUUUUAUUUUGCCUUCUCCCUCAUGCUAUCCUUAAGUUGCGUUCUUGUCACGUGUCCUUUCCACUUGUUACCUCAAGCAGCCCAUAUUGCCACCACCACCUCCUACGGCUAUUGUUUGGUUAUCGAGUCUGCCCUUGCGAGUCGUAGUGCAUGCUAGUGCUGUUUUAUCUUGUUACCGUUGUUGUUAUCUUAUCGGGUUAUAUGUUGGGAAGAAUCAUGGUUACUUUAGUUGUUGAUAAUUGUUUAGCAGAGGCAUCGGUGGGUCAGCUGCUCGUUUUGUGACGGCUCACUUGUGUUUCCUAAAUAUCUUAGGACCCCGAGUUCUUGUUAUCUGUUCCGAGACUGAGCGCUCUAACCACACGUGGGUAUGCUUACCGGGUCUCCCCUCGACCACUGCCAGAAUCUACAGCUUUGUCCAGUGGCCACAAUUAGUUUGAAUGUUUGUUUGUUUCUCCCGGGCGUGCAAGCAUGUUUCUUUGUGGUCAGAUGAUAUGAUAUUACUUUUGGGGCCUUGUACCCCGUUGUCUCUUGCACGUUCGUAGGUUGCGGUGCCACUGCGAAGUGGUCAUCCCGCUGGGCACUGUCCACCUAGCACGCAGUCGCAAUAGCUGAGUCCGCGUCGGAGUUUCGAUCGGGCUCCGAAACGGGUUAACUUUGUUAGGUGGCUUCCUGGACAUUGUUGUCGUGAAGGAGAGUGCGAGUCGUUAUAUCCACCUGUCGCAAGUGGGUUGAUCGUGCGUGUGGGCACAUUUGGGCACCCCUGCAGGGUUACAAUCUUAUCGAUAAGCCGUGUCCGCGGUUAUGGACGACUUGGAGCUGUAUGACUCGACCAUAGACAACUUACACAUGUUGUUUCAAUACUAAUAACCUGCAUAGUAAGAUAGAACAACUUAAAUAAUAAAUGGUUAAAACUUGACAACCGUGUGAGUGCCUUUGCUAGUACCUCUUUGCGAAGGGGGAACACGUCGGCUGUGUUAUGUUUGCAGAGUAUAGAACUGUUAGCUUAUGCGCUCUCUCAUCUCCUCUGAUUAGACGAAUGUUGUAGAGUGUCUCUAUAGGUUUUUAGUGCUUGCGCGCUGCCGCUUAACCCCACCAUAUUGCCUAUGACGUUCCUCUUGCGUCCUCUAAGUCCCCUGCGUGCCUCAAGUACAAAGGAUGACUGGUUGACGAAUACUUAUACGUCUUGAAGUCUUGUUAAGUACGAACCCGCACUUAUUGCUGCUUCUACGGGAUAUAA